UGGGGAAUAUUGGACAAUGGGCGAAAGCCUGAUCCAGCCAUGCCGCGUGUGUGAAGAAGGCCUUUUGGUUGUAAAGCACUUUAAGCGAGGAGGAGGCUACCUGGAUUAAUACUCUGGGAUAGUGGACGUUACUCGCAGAAUAAGCACCGGCUAACUCUGUGCCAGCAGCCGCGGUAAUACAGAGGGUGCGAGCGUUAAUCGGAUUUACUGGGCGUAAAGCGUGCGUAGGCGGCUUCUUAAGUCGGAUGUGAAAUCCCUGAGCUUAACUUAGGAAUUGCAUUCGAUACUGGGAAGCUAGAGUAUGGGAGAGGAUGGUAGAAUUCCAGGUGUAGCGGUGAAAUGCGUAGAGAUCUGGAGGAAUACCGAUGGCGAAGGCAGCCAUCUGGCCUAAUACUGACGCUGAGGUACGAAAGCAUGGGGAGCAAACAGG
rnacentral:rRNA from 1 species